AUGGCCCUGCGCUUGCUGCCCUGUGCUGCAGGUGGCUGUGCCCUGGUCCAGGCAGCGCUGACUCAGCCGCCCUCGGUGUCAGCGAACCCGGGAGAAACCGUCAGGAUCACCUGCUCUGGGCUUAGCAGUGGCAGCUAUGAUUAUGUUAGCUGGUAGGAGCCGAAACUUGGCAGUGCCCCUGUCACUGUCAUCUACAGCAGCAACAAGAGACCCUCGGACAUCCCUGCACGAUUCUCCGGAUCCGUGUCUGGCUCCACGGGCACGUUAACCAUCAGUGGGGUCCAAGCCAAGGACGAGGCUGUCUAUUUCUGUGGUAGCAGGGAGCGCAGCAGUGAUGCUGUUGUAGUGACAUAUGGAGAUGUGGAA